GACGAACGCUGGCGGCGCGCUUAACACAUGCAAGUCGAGCGAUGAAACUUUAACAUUACCCUUCGGGCCGAAGAUACAGUGGAUUAGCGGCCGACUGGUGAGUAACACUUUAGGAACCUGCCUUCUACAUUGGGAUAGCCUCAGUAACCCGGGAUUAAUACCAAAUAAAAUCAUAAUGACACAUGUCAUAACUAUCAAAACUCCGGUGGUCUAAGAUGGACUCGCAUCCCAUUAGCUAGUUGGUAGAGUAAAAGCCUACCAAGGCGACGCUGGCUAGCCGGGAUGAGAGGGUGAACGGCGACAUUGGAGCGGAGAAGCGGUAGAAACUCCUACGGGAGGCAGCAGUGGGGAAUAUUGCAACAUGGAGGGAACUAUGAUGCAGCGACGACGGGUGAACGAAGAAGGCUUUCGAGUAGUAAAGUGCAUGUAUAUGGGCAGAUAAUGACGGUACCAUAAGAGAAAGCCCCGGCUAACUACGUG
rnacentral:rRNA from 1 species